UUUGGAAAUGUUUAUCAAGGAAGUCAUAUUAAUAGAGGUGAAUCUUGGAGAACAAGACAAUUUUCCUCGGUUUCUACGAAGGCAACACUGUCCAGAAGGACAAAAGAGGGGCAGAUGAGGAGGAUGGAGCAAGCAACCAGGCCCAUGAGAGGGGCUCUGCAGUGGAUUGAGGAUGGAGAGGCUGGAGAAGAGGCUGAGGGUAAGUCAGGGCUCACAUCCUGACCUGAAUAAAGAAAGGGGCACAAGAACCAGGUUCAUCUUCAAGUUCAAGUCAUUUCAGAUUGAAAGAGAGUUGUACUUUAUCGUUAAUUAGGUAAGAAUGUAGUUAAGCAUUUGACUGAUCCAUUAAUUCAUUUGUGAGAUUCAAUAUAAAGGAGAAUGUUCUGUGUUGCUUUUUGUUUAUCACAUGUGAGGGGCUCACAGAGGAACAACACAGAUAAAAGUUUCCAUUUUCUCUGAUAUUUCAGUCAAGUAGUGAUUCAGAAAAUGUAACAGAAACUAAACUGUAGAUGAUAGAUCAGCUCCUCAGAACUCAGGGGACAGGCAUCAGACCUGGGAUGGGAUGGAGAAGGGAGGCCUCCAGGAGGAGGAGCAUUGGAAGAGAUUCUGGAGAGUGAGGAGCAGUGAGUACAAUAGACAGGGGAAGGAAAGCGAAGAGGAAACAGUGUGUCCGUGGCACAGGCCAGGCCAUAAGAAGAGAGCAGUGGAUUGGAAGGACCGCUGGGAUGAGUAAUAUGUGUGUUUUAUGGAGGAGAAUGUGGUCUCUCUUUUGAUGAGCGGUUCAUGUAGGCUUGAGAAGAUUGUGUGUUCUGCCAUUGAUAUGGUUUGGCUGUGUCCCCACCCAAAUCU
rnacentral:lncRNA from 10 species